GAGAGAGAGAGAGGUGGGCGACGAAACUUUUCUCCAGAAUUUCUAAAGUCAAGAAAAGAAAGUUAAAAAUGAGGUAGAGACAGUUUGUUUUUCUUUUUCUGUUUACUUUAUUUAUACGUCUACAGUUAUUAUUUUUUUCUUUAUGUCUGUCUUUAUGUUAGUUAUUUACAGCUUUAAAGAUCGUAUAUAAUGUAAAAAUAAACUGGAACACACACACACACACACACACACACACACACACACACACACACACACUCACAAAGAGAGGAAAAGUUGAAUAACCCCGACGGUUCUAAGAGGGGAACACUGAUGAUCCUAAACCUGAAAAUAUAACCCACAAAAUCAACAAAAUGAAAAAAAUACUAAAUAUUUAACAAAAAAAAAACACUCGGAAAUCACAUAAAAAGCAACACAAUUUAUUUUACUUAUUACUCUCUUUAAGGAGAACUUCACAAUAUAUAUAUAUGUUUCCAUGUCACCCAGAAAACGAGGUAACACAGCCGUGGAAAAACUCAAAUUUGGAUGUAUUUUGCGGUGUUAAUUAUUGAAAACGGGAAUUGGUAAAGUAAAUAUAAGUUUCAAGGGGGUCUUUUAAAUCUAUUUCCAUUUCCAUCACCCAAAACGAAGUAACACAGCCGAUUUUGCAACUAUUCGAAUGUUUAUUAUUGAAAACGGGAAGUGACUGAGUAGGUAUAAGUUUCGUGGGGGACUUUUAAAACUGUUUAUAUUGUAGGGGGCAGCAGGUAUACUUGUCGGUCCUUCUGUCUGUGUCUGAGGCUAGUGACGUGACCCCAGACAGUGUUAGUGCUGCCAUCUAUGUACGGGGAAGCACUAUACUUGUUGGUCCCUCUGUCUGUCUGUCUGUUUGGAGCUUGUAAGAACUCCAAACAAGUGCUGCCAUCUAUGUGCCUGGAGUUUGCGAUGUAAUUUCAGACAUUGCAGUGCUGCCCUCUAUGUAGAAUCAGGCCUGAAAUUCCUCCAUCGGUGAAUCACAUGAAAAAAAGAAUAUCAGUUUAAAUUUAAAAAACGUUUUGUAAUGGUGUAGUUUUGUGUUAGGAUUAUAUGUGUGUCUAAAAAGAGAGAGAGAGUGAGAAAAAAAAUCUAUAGUCGCAAUGGAUUAACUUUCGGCUUCUAUGGUAUAAAAAAAAGUCCCAAUCGUGUAUAGACGUACGAGGGUGAUGUUCAUUUGUUGAUCCUAAAGUAUAUGGUAUUAAGCCCCCUGUCAGUAUAUAGAGACUUCUGAUCCAUUCAUUUACUUCACGUUUUUAUAAUAGAGAAUUCUAAGUUAAAAAAAAUAUCUAUCAUGUAAAUAUAAAUGUCUCAUGUUCCCUUUUUUAUACGGUGGUUUUAUAUAUGUGAGUAAAAAAAGGAUUAAAACAGUAUAUUAGUAAACAAUAGUAAAAAGUAAAUAAAUAUAUCACCUCCUUUCCUAUACUCAUGUAAAUAUAAAUAAAUGUCUAAUGGUUCCCCUUUUUUAUACAGUGACUUUGUAAAUGUCAGUAAAAAAAAAGUAUUUAAAGAAAACUAUAAAAAGUACUAACCGACUCUUCCCUUACGAUCUUGUACAUAUAUAGAUGUCUCAUGAUUCCCUUUUUAUACGCUGAAUUUAUAUGUCAGUAAAAAAGUAUUUCCCCAAUUAAAAAAAAAGUAAAUAUUCACGUUCAAACUGACUUGGCGAAUAGGCCCCUCCCACUUUUUUUCAUAUCUGGCCAAUGGGAGAGUUUAUAUGGAAAGCUUGAGUUACCAGGUACCGAUAUAUUCUCCUUACGUUUUCUCUAUCUCACGCGGGCAACUGAAGUGACUUAAAAUCCUUCUUAAUCUUAAACUUCACAUGAUAGAAAUAAUUUAACAAACAUUCAUGACGAGAAAACAAAACGAGAGAGAAGAAAAAAGUGUAUAUCGGCAUCUAGCAACUCGACCCCACCAAAUAAGCUCCGCCCACUCAUAAGCUGUCACGCCCACCCUCCACCUCAGGCUGCAUGUGAUUGGGGGAUGCUGGACAGACGGGGCGUGGGCGGGUCCUAAAUGCCAAGUUAGUGUGAAUGGAGUGUAAGUGUGUCCAUCGUGUGUAGUACUGGUCUGGUGUGUCCCUGAAUGUGUCUGUAGGACGUGACUCCGUUUUCUGUUGGUUCCAGGGCGGCGUAAGGAAGCCCCGCCCCUUCGCUAGGAACAGCCAAUGAUGUGUCUGAGUCUAGUGGUCAUGGUGGUUGGUAUUAUAAGACACUCGCUUAUCACAUUAACAAUUUCUAAAGGACGAAGAGGGGGUCAAUCGGGUUCUAAUGAGUGUUUCUACAGGUUCAUGGUACAGAGAAAGAGUCACACUAUCACCAGGGUCAUACAACUACUACUGGAAAUGCCCACAGCUCCUACGAAAGCCCUGUCAAAUUAGUGUUCUUGUGUGAUGGAAUGUCUUAUGUCUUGGCCAAUCAGGUGAAGGGGCUGGGCUUGGCUUGUCCAUUGAGACUGAAGGGAAUGAAAAUUUUACUCGUGUUUUGUUUCCUGGUGAUUUAAGAGCAAGAACUAAAGUAAUAUUUCCACUAUAACCUUUUUGUUGUUGUUCUUUUGUUAAUCAGGAUAUUUCAAACCAAUGCAACUUUCGAAAUCAGUAUCUUCAAAAAUUUAAUGGAUAUAUGAAUUUAGUCUUUAUUAUGCAACUUUCGAAAUCAGUAUCUUCAAAAAAUCAAUGGGUAUAUGAAUUUAGUCUUUAUUAUGCAACUUUCAAAAUCAGUAUCUUCAAAAAUUUAAUGGAUAUAUGAAUUUAGUCUUUAUUAUGCAACUUUCGAAAUCAGUAUCUUCAAAAAUUUAAUGGAGAUAUGAAUUUAGUCUUUAUUAUGCAACUUUCUAAAUCAGUGUCUUCAAAAAUUUAAUGGAUAUAUGAAUUUAGUCUUUAUUAAUUAGGUCUAUUGUCAUUAAAAUCGUCAUUAUUGUUAUGCUAAUCAGUGAGGUAUUCAAAUUCAGUUCCCUUUUAAAAGUUAUAGGAUUUUUUUUAUAGUGGUCUGUCAUCAUUAUCUUGUCAUCACUGAUAUUCAUAAUUCUGAAGAUAAGGAACAACAGAGUAUACGAGUAUGUUCAACACUUAAGAUAAUUGUGAAUGUAAAUAACUAGAGAAAAAAAACUAAUACACUUGAGUUUGCUAAAUUGUAAGUAAGGGCACGAGUAAAAUGUUAGAGGGUCAUUGUAAGGCUUCGUGUAUAUGUCGUGUAUGUAACGUGUUUGAGGCGAGAGCUGGUGGGUUAAAUGUGUACGUUUGUAUGUAUGUAUGUAUGUAUGUAUCAGUAUAUUAAUGAGUAUGAAUAAAUAGCAAAUGCGAAUGAAUGGAUGGAAGUAAUGGGAGAUAGAUAGAUAUGUAGAUAGAUAGAGAUAGAUAGCCAGAGAGAGAGAGAGAGAGAGAGAGAGAUGACAUAACCAGUGCCUUGGGGCGUGAGGGUUUUGUCGUGCGAGUAAUGAAUUGCAAGUGACCAACCCACCCUUAUAGACGUAUCCACCCACCCACCCACCCACAAGCAACCACCCACCCACCCUCCCAUUCUCCCUCCACCUUCUCUCCCUUCCACCUUCUCUCCCUUCCUUCCUAUCAUCCUCAUUCUUCCUCCCUUCUUUCCCCUCUUUCAGCCUAGUCAUCCCCUCAUCUCCUCAUUCUCAUCCUCAGUUAAUCCCUUUUCCUUAUCUAUUUUCCUCUCUUCCUUCCUUCCUCUUCCCGUCCUUUCUUCCACUCAACCCCCAUCCACCUUCCACUCUUCUUAUAGUCCACUUACAUCUUUUUCUUACUUUCUUCCACUUGCACAUCCUUCCCUGUUUUCUCUCUUUCAACCAUGUCACCUUUCCUCCCCUCUUUCCCCCUCACUUUCUCACUCCCACUCUCAUUCUCUCCCGCAUCCUUGUUAUGCACCCUUCCUCCCCCUCUCCGUCCUUAAUUCCUAUUCCCUUCCUUCCUUCGUAGCCCAGCCUUCCUUCCUUCCUUCCCAUCCCCGCCCUUCCUUCCCCCCCUCUCCCCGUCCUUCCUUCCCUCCCACCGAGACUGCUUCGAGUUGGCUCCGUUUUGUAUCGAAUCGACGAAUUAUCAUUAACGAGCUCCAAGUUUUGCAGUGAUGGAUGUCUUAAUAAAGUGGUGGUUUCGCUGUGGUGUUUGAGAUCC